UACGUAGGGUGCGAGCGUUAAUCGGAAUUACUGGGCGUAAAGCGUGCGCAGGCGGCUUUGCAAGACAGAUGUGAAAUCCCCGGGCUUAACCUGGGAACUGCAUUUGUGACUGCAAGGCUAGAGUGCGGCAGAGGGGGAUGGAAUUCCGCGUGUAGCAGUGAAAUGCGUAGAUAUGCGGAGGAACACCGAUGGCGAAGGCACUCUGCUGGGCCGACACUGACACUGAGAGACGAAAGCUAGGGGAGCGAAUGGG
rnacentral:rRNA from 1 species